rnacentral:rRNA from 1 species
UACGUAGGGUGCGAGCGUUGUCCGGAAUUACUGGGCGUAAAGAGCUCGUAGGUGGUUUGUCGCGUUGUUCGUGAAAACUCACAGCUCAACUGUGGGCGUGCGGGCGAUACGGGCAGACUGGAGUACUGCAGGGGAGACUGGAAUUCCUGGUGUAGCGGUGGAAUGCGUAGAGAUCGGGAAGAAUACCAGUGGCGAAGGCGUUCUGCUGGGCCGUUGCUGACACUGAGGCGCGACAGCGUGGGGAGCAAACAGG